rnacentral:rRNA from 1 species
ACGAACGCUGGCGGCGUGCUUAACACAUGCAAGUCGAACGGUGAAGCGCCUACCUUUUUGGUGGGUGUGGAUGAGUGGCGAACGGGUGAGUAACACGUGAGUAACCUGCCCCCUUCUUCUGGAUAACCGCAUGAAAGUGUGGCUAAUACGGGAUAUUCUGGGUCUGUCGCAUGAUGGGUCUGGGAAAGAUAUUGUUUCGGUGGGGGAUGGGCUCGCGGCCUAUCAGCUUGUUGGUGGGGUGAUGGCCUACCAAGGCGGUGACGGGUAGCCGGCCUGAGAGGGUGGACGGUCACACUGGGACUGAGACACGGCCCAGACUCCUACGGGAGGCAGCAGUGGGGAAUAUUGCACAAUGGGCGCAAGCCUGAUGCAGCGACGCCGCGUGAGGGAUGGAGGCCUUCGGGUUGUGAACCUCUUUCGCCAGUGAAGCAGGCCUGCCUCGUUUGUGGGUGGGUUGACGGUAGCUGGAUAAGAAGCGCCGGCUAACUACGUG